rnacentral:rRNA from 2 species
UCCAGGUAAAUCCGGUUCACUUUAACACUGAGGCGUGACGACGAGGCACUACGGUGCUGAAGCAACAAAUGCCCUGCUUCCAGGAAAAGCCUCUAAGCAUCAGGUAACAUCAAAUCGUACCCCAAACCGACACAGGUGGUCAGGUAGAGAAUACCAAGGCGCUUGAGAGAACUCGGGUGAAGGAACUAGGCAAAAUGGUGCCGUAACUUCGGGAGAAGGCACGCUGACACGUAGGUGAAGUGAUUUACUCAUGGAGCUGAAGUCAGUCGAAGAUACCAGCUGGCUGCAACUGUUUAUUAAAAACACAGCACUGUGCAAACACGAAAGUGGACGUAUACGGUGUGACGCCUGCCCGGUGCCGGAAGGUUAAUUGAUGGGGUCAGCGCAAGCGAAGCUCCUGAUCGAAGCCCCGGUAAACGGCGGCCGUAACUAUAACGGUCCUAAGGUAGCGAAAUUCCUUGUCGGGUAAGUUCCGACCUGCACGAAUGGCGUAAUGAUGGCCAGGCUGUCUCCACCCGAGACUCAGUGAAAUUGAACUCGCUGUGAAGAUGCAGUGUACCCGCGGCAAGACGGAAAGACCCCGUGAACCUUUACUAUAGCUUGACACUGAACAUUGAGCCUUGAUGUGUAGGAUAGGUGGGAGGCUUUGAAGUGUGGACGCCAGUCUGCAUGGAGCCGACCUUGAAAUACCACCCUUUAAUGUUUGAUGUUCUAACGUGGACCCGUUACCCGGGUUGCGGACAGUGUCUGGUGGGUAGUUUGACUGGGGCGGUCUCCUCCUAAAGAGUAACGGAGGAGCACGAAGGUUGGCUAAUCCUGGUCGGACAUCAGGAGGUUAGUGCAAUGGCAUAAGCCAGCUUGACUGCGAGCGUGACGGCGCGAGCAGGUGCGAAAGCAGGUCAUAGUGAUCCGGUGGUUCUGAAUGGAAGGGCCAUCGCUCAACGGAUAAAAGGUACUCCGGGGAUAACAGGCUGAUACCGCCCAAGAGUUCAUAUCGACGGCGGUGUUUGGCACCUCGAUGUCGGCUCAUCACAUCCUGGGGCUGAAGUAGGUCCCAAGGGUAUGGCUGUUCGCCAUUUAAAGUGGUACGCGAGCUGGGUUUAGAACGUCGUGAGACAGUUCGGUCCCUAUCUGCCGUGGGCGCUGGAGAACUGAGGGGGGCUGCUCCUAGUACGAGAGGACCGGAGUGGACGCAUCACUGGUGUUCGGGUUGUCAUGCCAAUGGCACUGCCCGGUAGCUAAAUGCGGAAGAGAUAAGUGCUGAAAGCAUCUAAGCACGAAACUUGCCCCGA